GUUUAAAAUACAGGAAGUGACGUUUGACGACGAUGUAACGCUUUGGUUAAUAAACAACACUUUCGAAGAUGAUUUUGCAACGCUUUUGAACGUUAGCUAAUUCAAAUUAGCAGAGUGUUUUAUUUAUUUGUUUAGCUAACGCAUCAUAAAGAUUUAAAACAAUGUAGAAUGGGAAAACGGGUAUAUUUGUUUUGCUAUGAAGCGUCUGGUGCUAGCUAGCUAGCUUAUCACAACAACUGGAUGGCCUUUGUUUUUCAUGGGUGUUUUUCAGCCAGUGCUGACCAGCGAACUAGUCUUUUCGCCUGUCAACAUCCCUGGAUUUUCUAAAGAUGAAGAGAAAAGUGGCUCGAUUACGGUUAAGUCCAAAUGAAGAAGCGCAACUCAUUCGAGAUGAACACGAAAGGAGAAGGAAGCUGUGAAUAGAACAGGUGCGGGAACAGGAGCGGUAUAUCGCCCUGCAAAUCCGCACGGAGGUGCGGCAGCGACGGGAGCGCGAGCUGCAGAACCUGGCGCAGGAGUUGAAGGAGGAGUGGGAGCGACAACAGAGGGAGAAACAGGAGACCCUGCAAAAGUUAUAUCAGGACAAUCUCCGAGUUUUGGGAGAGGGACAUAGAAGUGCCAAAGAAAAUGUAAAAUCUCUCAACCCAUGUCUUAGCUAUGUGUGAUCCAUUGCAGACUGCCAGUGUAAUGUUACUGGGUUUUGUUGGAAUGUUUAGGGUCAUAGGUCUUGCCCCAGAGCAGAAAAUAACUCUUUACUUCACUAUACAACGGGUUGAUCAAGGCACACUUCAUGUUUCUAUGUUUCCCCAGAAGCCUGACUGUGAGGCAAUUGCACAGAGAAAUUAGGGGAAUAACGUUCGGCAGAUGAGCGCUAUCGAGACGCCAUCAAACAGCUCAAAUCACAGAGACAGAAAGGAGGAGGAGCAAAAUCGUUUUAUUGAGGCUAGGAAGAAGGCCAUACAAGUGGAGAAGGAGAGGGCAGCAACUGUGGCCAACCUCCCAUCCCUUCCACCCAACCCAAUUGAGAAUAUUGAGUCAAGGAAGCUACCUGGAGUGAAGAAAUCGGACAGAGAUGCCUUCUCUGUGACCCACUAUCACAUGCCAGAGACUGCAGUGGACAGGGAAGUUGACAGUACAGCCAAAGGCAUGGGAGGUGGCAGAGGAGGAGGUGCGGCGCCUGCAGGAGCUAGAACGGGAGGAGCAGAGGGAGAGACGGGAGCAGCUGGAGAAAGCUCGUCUUAGGGGCAACCACGCGCUGAGGAGGGAACGGCUCACACAGGUACAUAUUUCUACACAAUCACACUCACCUUGUUGAAGACUAUUCAAGUGAUAACAUGACAGAAAAGUCCAUGUACAACUUUCUGCAUUAUGAGGCUAAAUCUGUCCUGAGCUGUUAAAGGAAUGCCUGAAAUCCUUUCAAUGCAUAUUGUAUGCGUCAAGGCCAAGACAACAACAAUACCUAUGUUUGUUUCUGCUGUGUCAGGACCGAGAGUGCCUCCUGGUGGAGCUGGAACACAUGCAUCAGACAGACCUGUUGAGGCGCAGGCAGAUGAUGGCUCAGAUGCCUGCCCAGAUCUUCUAGCUGCUCUACAAGAGACAGGAGAUGAGGGAGGACUGGCAGAGGGACAUGGAGUUCACCUUUGAGGACAUGUACACUGGAGAGAGUAGUAAGGGUGGGGGGUCCAAAUCAGGAUGAAUUUUUCCGUGCUCUGCUCUGGCCCCGAGUACACAAUUUGUUGGUAUUGCCCUGGUGCAUAGAUAAGUUGUUUUACUUGAUUGAAAUGGAGAGAUUUACCCUAUCCUAGACAGUAGUGUGGACACAUCGUUAUGAGACCUAAUUACCAUUAGUACAUUGGCAUGGAGUUUCUCUAUUCAUCUAAUUAAACCUGUACUGCUCUUUUGCCUGCAGGAGUGAAAGGUGACCUGGUGCUGCAGCUGGUCCCAGAGCCUCUCCCAGCUGUGUCCACUGGCAGCCAGGAUGAACACCUAGACCUGACCCUGGAGGAGGCCACUCCUGACCUUACACCCUCGGCUGGGGCAGAGGAACAACCGGAUGAAGAACCAUCCAGGCCUCUAGGUGGUGCUCCCAGACAGGCCUUGAAGAAGCUACUGACCCGUGUCAGGUCACAGAGAGACCAGUGGAGCUACCGGAGGCUGGUUGACCCCACAUCUGACUGCCAAACUAUUCAGACAGCAGAGCGCGACACGACCUCAGAUGGUACGACCAUUGAGUCAGGCUUUCUGGCCAGCGAAAAGCAGGGCUGACCGUUGACCACUAGUCCCAGACUCCCUGACCCCUCUCAGCCAGCACAAGCUAUAGAGACAAUAGAGGACUCCAUAGUAGCUGGUACCCUGCUCCAUCCUGAUAAACAAGCCAUCAAGAUCCACACAUUUAAACUGAGAGGAAGAGAAGGGAGGAGGAGCUAGAGAGGCAGGAGCAGAUUGCCCUGCUACAGGAUUUAGGGGAGAAGAAGAGCAAGCUGGAGCUACUGCAGGAGGCCCAGGAAGAGAGGGAGCAGCUGCAGACGGCCAUGACCCAAGACACUGCUGCUGCAUCUGGAACACUGAAAACACCAGCCCAGGACGUCAGCCCUGCUGCUCCAUCUCCUGAGUCUACUAUACACUCAGCUGCUGAGGAUGACCACCCCAGGAGAAUCAGAGAGUAUCAGCAGCGUCUCUUAGACCAGAACAGGCUUCAUAAGCAGUCAGUGGAAGAGUCUCACCGGCGUCUGGAAGAGUACCAACACACGCUAAGAAACCGCUAUUCUGGUGUAACUACGGCAACAUGUCUCCCUCCUGGUACCACAGCCCGUCCUCUACCACACUUUAAAGGAGGAAUCAUUCCCCCGGUAGUGCCACUAGAACUCCCCUCUGGCUCCCCUGUCUCCCUGUAGCACUUAGUACCCACUCUAGAGCUCACACCCCUCUGGACCUCUCCACACGGGAGCCCUCCAUCUUGGCUCAAACUCUCUUCCUUCCUGGCGCAACAGUCUGCUCGCAUAUCAACUCCAGGGCCUCACCAGUGCAGCUCGAACCCACCGCUUAAAGCCUAAGAGACCAAAGAGCAGGUGUUUCUGCUUGGCUGGCGGACAAUGUGUUUAGUAGGGUCACAGAGGACCUCCCUGAGAAGCUACCUGGCACCUCUACCUCGUUGGACCCCCAGUCCUACAGACCACAUCCUGUUUCCCUCCACUCUACUCCACGCAUCCCACUCCCAUCAACAGCUGACUCCAUCCCAGCCAUUAGCCCAACCCUUUGAGAAGAGUCAGCUACUCUCCCUGGGGAGGCCCCGGUGAAGCCUGGGCCUGUCCUGUGGGCCUCAGCCAGGUCUGGGGAAGAGGUGGAGAGGCAGAGGCAGGAGAUACGUGAGGCCCAGAGGGAGCAGAGGGAAGAACGGAGAUGGCUGGAGGAAGAGCAGAGGAGGAGACAGAGGGAGGUGUUAGACACUGCUCACUGCUGACGACACACAGGUGAGGAAACAAACAACACCUCAAGGGUUUUACCUGCUGGCAGGGCCACUAUUGGUUUAAAGUGAUUCAAAAAGUAAGAUUAACACUAACAAAUAAAUAGGUAGCCCAAACAUGUAAAUUGUCAAUGAAAUUGUGUGGAUAUACUCUCUUGUCUACUGACUCUAAAGUAGUUUAGACUUUUCUGUGUCUGCCGGUCUCUCUCUGUGUCGGUGUGUGUGUGUGUGGCUCCCCCAGCCUGGUUCAGAGAUCGCUGAUGGUUUGGGGUCAAAGGUCCUGGGGUCAGAGUGUGUCCAUCUGAUUGCAGCUCUGCUCAGGGCCAUCGGAGUCCAAUGGGCAAACAUCAUCAUCUGUAGAAGCUAAUCAGAGCCAAGACAACACACUCAAUGUCCAGAGUUCACACCCAGACAGACCCGCCCCUCACCAACUUCCCCAACCACCACCCCCGAGCAGCCAAACCCCUGGUGGCCUGCGCCAGGCUGGUCGUCAUGGUGAUGACAGAGCAGCAUGAGCUCAGGCCUGAUCACAGGUCGGUCAGCCAGCCACACCCUCAGGGGGCACCAUACACUACACCAAAUGUGGCAGUGGUCAGCUCUGGUGACCACUUGUAUACAUCCUUCAUAAACAAGCGUGUAUCUCUAACCAGCUACUGUGUGCUGUGUCCACAGGUCCAGAAGUGAGUGUGAGGCUGUCUCGUAUUGAAAGGGCAUUUCCAGAAGAACAGGACCCCUUGGCCCACUCUGAGAGAGGUCACUCCAGCACCUCUGUGUUCAGUGCAGGGGAACACACAGCUGGGAGUGAGACAUUAACCAGGUCUGGUAGAUCCAGCAAGCUAUCCUGGAGAGAGAGAGAUUACAGCUGGAGGCUGGUGCCUCUCCUGAACCUGUUUUGUCCAGUUGGAGAUCCUGUCCUUCCAGUCAGCCGGUAGACCCUCAGAACCAGACUACCUGUCUUCCACCACCAUCUCUUCUGGCAGCUUCGCCACCACUGACCCUGAACACACCUCCACCAAAAACUCUUCCCUGCUCUUGGCUGGGUUUAGAAGAGGGAAGAAAUCAUCGGUCAAUGGCUCCUCUUCAUGAAGACACAGUUCCUGUAGAGACGUAUCUGGUCCUGGGUCUCCCAUCUCAGACUCACUCCUACACAGCAGCAGUAUCCAGCGCAUCAUAGACAAAUACACCCGGGAGCUCAACCUCUCUCUCAGUUCUGCUGGGAACCAGAUGGGAGCUGAUGGGUCUAACUCCCUAGGCUGGGUGGAUCUGAGAGGCUCAGGCCAGACAGGAGUGUCAUCUGACCCAGAGGGAGCCCCUGAAGCCCAUUCAUUGAGCAGCUCCUUUCUCCCUGGACUGGAACUUCUGCCACACUACCAGUGCCUGCAACGCUCUGGCACCAGCUCCCAGGAAGCAGACAGGACUGGGGCCUCCGACUCCUUCCACCCCCUCCUGGCUGAAGUCACACACAACAAGACAGCUGAACCCUCCAUGACCUUUCACCUUCCAGAAGAGGAAGUGGAGGGGCUAUGUUCCCACGAAGAAGAAAGUGACCAUGAAGAACCUGCAGGGGACCUUGAACUCUCUGCAUGCUCAGUUGAGUUUGUGGACGACACUUGGUCUGUCACCUCUGACCCCCCCCCUCCUGAGUGCCUGAGAGGAGGGGAGGAACCACCUCAGCCCUCGCCCGCCCUGCACGACUCCUUGUACCAGCUGACCAUGUCCCAGUGCCUCCCUCAUAACUCUGCUCUGGAUGUAUCCCCAGGAGCAGAGGUGGGGGGGUCUGGCAGCAUGUUCCCUCUCUCUGUGAAGAUGUCCCCACUUUGGACAAGCCACUUGAAGGCGGGGACACUGAUAUGGAGAGCACACCAGCACCUCAGACAGUUGACCAAUGAGGUGCUAUUACCAUUAAGGACCUGGGUGCAGGAGAGCCGGAUGCCCAGCUAUGUUCAGAGUCAAAGAUCAGCCCUCCCAUCUGGGAGAGAAUAAUGGUGGGCAGUGUGAAGGGGAUAAUGGACGAUUCCAUGCUGACCCUGAUGAGCCUGACAGACACCACAUUAAAGGACCACGGACUCGCUGAGGAAGGAGAGAUGGAUGAGGUAUCAGACCAAUAAGGCAUUGUGGAAAAGGAAUCAGAGUGGACAGUGUUGCCAGAGGAGGACGCCAGCCUACAGGACAACCCCCUCUCAUGCAGUAAUGCUGCUGGAGUUCCAGUCGUGUCCCAGCGUGAAUCUACAGGAGGCCUUCCAGCAGAAACGCAGAGCCCUGAUCCAGAGGUCUGCCCGCAGGGUGGAGGAGAUUCAGGCCAAGACGUCUGAAGACAAAGCAAACACCAGGGCCCAGUCUGAAACCACUGAGACCAGGGCCAACACAACCACCAGGGCCCAGUCUGACCCAACCACUGUUCAGUCAUCCACUACUAAACCCAGGAGGGAGGGGAGGAGUGCAGAGUCAACCCAUGCAGGAGUGGAUUCCAAGCAGAAAAAGCAACAGCCAAAGCUCCAAACUCCCUUGCAGCCUCCCAUGCUAGCCAAGCUGAAGAAGGUUGGGGAGGUGAGGAUCAGCACUCCUGAGAUGAGGAUACAGGAUGUGGCUGACAUGCGCCAGAGAACAGAGAGGUUGUACAGCCGACUAGAUGAGGUAAAGCUUCAGGAGGAGGUCAGGAGCAGACAGGAGGCAUAUGCCAAAAACGGGAGAAGGCCAAAGAGUUUCACAAGAAGCUACGGGCCAAGCAGUCUCCGCAAUGAUACUGAAUAUCAGUUUUAUCUGUUGUCGUGUGUUCUGUGUUUGCACUUAUUUUGUACUUACAUGUGUUUUUGUACAGUUUAAUCAGUAAUGUAAAAUAUAUUUUACGAGUGUGUAUAUAAUCUGCGUUCAGUCUAUUCAUCACAAUUUACUGUGUUCACACAACAAAGGCAGCCAGUGCACUAUUGCACCUUGAAUGCUGGCGGUACACCCAUUGCAUUAUGAGAAUGUUAUGUUGCCUGUAAAAAUAUUUUAGUUUCAGGUUUUUAUAACCAAUAAAGUUGUUUGUUGCUGAUUUUGCCUAUCCUUAUAAGUUGUAUUAUGGGAGGCCACUUGACCUGAAAAGAUUGGAAAACGUCUAGUCUCAUAGACGUAAGCUAAUGUUAACGUUAGCUAGAAACUAACUUUAGCCAACACUCAUUGAUGCAAUUUAGCUACUUACAGUAACG
rnacentral:lncRNA from 1 species